AGUGAACGCUGGCGGUAGGCCUAACACAUGCAAGUCGAACGGCAGCACAGUAAGAGCUUGCUCUUACGGGUGGCGAGUGGCGGACGGGUGAGGAAUACAUCGGAAUCUACUUUUUCGUGGGGGUUAACGUAGGGAAACUUACGCUAAUACCGCAUACGCCCUACGGGUGAAAGCAGGGGAUCUUCGGACCUUGCGCGAUUGAAUGAGCCGAUGUCGGAUUAGCUAGUUGGCGGGGUAAAGGCCCACCAAGGCGACGAUCCGUAGCUGGUCUGAGAGGAUGAUCAGCCACACUGGAACUGAGACACGGUCCAGACUCCUACGGGAGGCAGCAGUGGGGAAUAUUGGACAAUGGGCGCAAGCCUGAUCCAGCCAUACCGAGUGGGUGAAGAAGGCCUUCGGGUUGUAAAGCCCUUUUGUUGGGAAAGAAAAGCAGCAGGUUAACACCCCGCUGUUCUGACGGUACCCAAAGAAUAAGCACCGGCUAACUUCGUG
rnacentral:rRNA from 1 species